AGUGAACGCUGGCGGCAGGCCUAACACAUGCAAGUCGAGCGGAUGAAUAGAGAGUGCUCCUGUUUUCAGCUGGCGACGGGUGGGUGAGUGAGAAGUAUCUCGCUAUUUAUUUUGUAUAAGGUCAGAAAACGGGGACUAAUACCGCAUAAGUGCAUAGGUAGAAAGGGUGGGAGCUUCGGACCUCAGGCUAUCGGAUGAGCCUAGGUCGGAUUAGCUAGUUGGUGGGGUAAAGGCCCACCAAGGCGACGAUCCGUAGCUGGUCUGAGAGGAUGAUCAGCCACACUGGAACUGAGACACGGUCCAGACUCCUACGGGAGGCAGCAGUGGGGAAUAUUGGACAAUGGGCGAAAGCCUGAUCCAGCCAUGCCGCGUGUGUGAAGAAGGUCUUCGGAUUGUAAAGCCCUUUAAUUGGGGAAGAAGGGCAGCAAGUUAAUACCUUGCUGUUUUGACGUUACCCAAAGAAUAAGCACCGGCUAACUUCGUG
rnacentral:rRNA from 1 species